rnacentral:rRNA from 1 species
UACGUAGGGUGCAAGCGUUGCCCCGGAUUUAUUGGGCGUAAAGGGCGCGUAGGCGGCUCGGCACGUCCGUUGUGAAAUCGCCCCGGCUCAACUGGGCGGGGUCAGCGGAUACGGUCGAGCUUGAGCAAGCUAGGGGGCAAUGGAAUUCCCGGUGUAGUGGUGGAAUGCGUAGAUAUCGGGAGGAACACCAGUGGCGAAGGCGGUUGCCUGGGGCUUUGCUUGACGCUGAUGCGCGAAAGCGUGGGGAGCGAUCGGC